CCGCCUUCACGAUGGUGCUUCUCCGGUGCCCCGUAGUCGACCAAACCCCCUACCCCGAAAUCCUCAUCUUGUAAACUUUCAGUAUGAGAUUGGAGUUUUGUUUUGAAAUGGUGUCCCGUUGUGUUCAUCUGGCCCUUUGUGUUCGCUUGCUUCGCGUGUAUACAUUUCUUGAGCUUAGCCCCCGAACACUUAUGUGAUUUGCUAAGGUCUCUACCCGCCUAGGAGCUAUGGCACCGUCUCGUCCAUAUUUUUUGUUGCAGCCCUGAGGUCGUCCGAUC
rnacentral:lncRNA from 1 species